rnacentral:rRNA from 1 species
CAAUAGCGUAUAUUAAAGUUGUUGCAGUUAGAACGCUCGUAGUCGGAUUUCGGGGCGGGGCGACCGGUCUGCCGAUGGGUAUGCACUGGUCGGCGCGUCCUUCCUUCCGGAGACCGUUCCUACUCUUAACUGAGCGGGGGCGGGAGACGGAUCGUUUACUUUGAAAAAAUCAGAGUGUUUCAAGCAGGCAGCUCGCUCUUGCAUGGAUUAGCAUGGGAUAAUGAAAUAGGACUUUGGUGCUAUUUUGUUGGUUUCGAACACCGAAGUAAUGAUUAAAAGGGACAGUCAGGGGCACUCGUAUUCCGCCGAGAGAGGUGAAAUUCUCAGACCAGCGGAAGACGAACCACUGCGAAAGCGUUUGCCAGGGAUGUUUUCACUGA